rnacentral:rRNA from 1 species
CCUACGGGUGGCAGCAGUGGGGAAUAUUGGGCAAUGGGCGCAAGCCUGACCCAGCAACGCCGCGUGAAGGAAGAAGGCUUUCGGGUUGUAAACUUCUUUUCUCAGGGACGAAGAAAGUGACGGUACCUGAGGAAUAAGCCACGGCUAACUACGUGCCAGCAGCCGCGGUAAUACGUAGGUGGCAAGCGUUAUCCGGAUUUACUGGGUGUAAAGGGCGUGUAGGCGGGAAAGCAAGUCAGAUGUGAAAACCAUGGGCUCAACCUGUGGCCUGCAUUUGAAACUGUUUUUCUUGAGUACUGGGGAGGCAGACGGAAUUCCUCGUGUAGCGGUGAAAUGCGUAGAUAUGAUGAGGAACACCAGUGGCGAAGGCGGUCUGCUGGACAGCAACUGACGCUGAGGCGCGAAAGCGUGGGGAGCAAACAGGAUUAGAUACCCGUGUAGUC